UUCGUAGGCGGGAUUGUAAGUCAAGUGUGAAAUCCCCGAGCUUAACUCGGGACGUGCAUUUGAAACUGUGAUUCUUGAGUCAUUGAGAGGGUGGUGGAAUUGUUGGUGUAGGAGUGACAUCCGUAGAGAUCAACAGGAACAUCAGAGGCGAAAGCGGCCACCUGGCAAUGUACUGACGCUGAGGAACGAAAGCGUGGGGAGCAAACAGGAUUAGAUACCCUGGUAGUCCACGCCAUAAACGAUGAUAACUAGGUGUUGGGGGAGUUGACCCCCUCAGUACCGUAGCUCACGCGCUAAGUUAUCCGCCUGGGGAGUACGACCGCAAGGUUAAA
rnacentral:rRNA from 1 species